rnacentral:rRNA from 1 species
AGCGAACGCUGGCGGCAUGCCUAACACAUGCAAGUCGAACGGCAGGACAUUAAGAUCUUGCUCUUACGGGGGGCGAGUACCGGACGGGUCAUGUAGACGUCGGGGGCUACUUUGUCGGGAGGUAUAACGUAGACAAACUUACGCUAAUACCUCAUACCACCUGCGGAUGAAAGCAGGGGAUCGUCGGGCCUUGCGCGAUUGAAUGAGCCGAUGGCGGAGUAGCGAGUUGGCGGGGUAAAGGCCCACCAAGGCGACGAUCCGUAGCUGGUCUGAGAGGAUGAUCAGCGACGCUGGAACUGAGACACGGUCCACACUACCACGGGAGGCAGCCGUGGGGAAUAUUGGACAAUGGGAGCAAGCCUGAUCCAGCCAUACCGCGUGGGUGCAGAAGGCAUUAGGGUUGUAAAGCCGUUUUGUUGGGAAAGAAAAGAAGGAGGUUAAUACGGGGAUGUUCUGAAGGUACCCAAAGAAUAAGCACCGGCUAAAUUCGUG